ACGGAAGGCAGCAGUGGGGAAUAUUGUACAAUGGAGGAAACUCUGAUGCAGCAACGCCGCGUGAAGGAUGAAGGUCUUCGGAUUGUAAACUUCUGUCCUUAGGGAAGAUAAUGACGGUACCUUUGGAGGAAGCCCCGGCUAACUACGUGCCAGCAGCCGCGGUAAUACGUAGGGGGCAAGCGUUAUCCGGAAUUAUUGGGCGUAAAGGGUGCGUAGGUGGUUACCUAAGCAGGGGGUGAAAGGCAUUGGCUUAACCAAUGUUAGCCCCCUGAACUGGGCUACUUGAGUACAGGAGGGGAAAGUGGAAUUCCUAGUGUAGCGGUGAAAUGCGUAGAUAUUAGGAGGAACACCGGUGGCGAAGGCGACUUUCUGGACUGUUACUGACACUGAGGCACGAAAGUGUGGGGAGCAAACAGGAUUAGAUACCCUGGUA
rnacentral:rRNA from 1 species